CUUCUACACUCUCCUGCAUCCCUCACUCGGCCAGCACGCGGUUCCUGAAAGUACCAUUCCUCUCUAAGAAUCACUCGCAGAGGUUUCGCCUUGAAGAUACCACGGGCCUUUUCAUUCGUCUUCACUUAGAUUGUACAGGAUGUUCCGGUCCAGCAGACAUGCGCAGUCCACGAGGUUCACGCUGCUUGUUAUAUCAGCCCUGCUGCUUGUCGUCACAGUCACGUGUCGCCCGCAGAAUUUGAAUAAAGGAAAACGGUGUUUAAACAACAUAAACGAAUGUAACCCCUGGAAAGAUGAGUGCUGCGAUGAUCUCACCUGCAUCAAUCUGAGGAAGGGAUACUGCGCCUAUCCUUUCGAGAGAUGCUUCUGCAUGAACAAGAUCUCCUUCCACGUGGACCAGAGAUCCGUAUAACCAACCCGACUUACAGCGGGUGGAAGACUGGAGAGAUCAUGUGAAAGGAAUUUAA